rnacentral:rRNA from 1 species
UUUGCCCUACGGGCGCAGCAGUAGGGAAUUUUCGUCAAUGGGCGCAAGCCUGAACGAGCAAUGCCGCGUGAACGAGGAAGGUCUUCGGAUCGUAAAGUUCUGUUGAAGGGGAAAAAGAGCGGAGAGAGGAAAUGAACUCCGAUUGAUGUUACCCUUCGAGGAAGUCACGGCUAACUACGUGCCAGCAGCCGCGGGAAUACGUAGGUGGCGAGCGUUAUCCGGAAUGAUUGGGCGUAAAGGGGGCG